UUGCAGCUAUACAUGAAGGGAGCUCACAACGAUGACGAUGAAGAUGAAGAUGUUGGAAUUCAAUUCCAACGACAUGAAUCCUGAAGAAGGGUUCAUCCAAAUUGAAUCAAUGAGUCACCAAAUUGUUAUGGAGCCCCCGUGCUUGUGUGGGCUCCUUUUUGCACAGCACUUUCUGCCAAAGACCAUGAUUCAUAGUCACAUAGACAUGACUGACACGGACUUAGCUGGAUCGUGACAAGUGUUGAAAGAAAGUGGGUCUUUUAGGUAAUUUUUGG